rnacentral:rRNA from 1 species
UGGGGAAUUUUCCGCAAUGGGCGAAAGCCUGACGGAGCAAUACCGCGUGAGGGAAGACUGCCUAUGGGUUGUAAACCUCUUUUUUCAGGGAGGAAUAAAAUGACGUGUACCUGAAGAAUAAGCAUCGGCUAACUCCGUGCCAGCAGCCGCGGUAAGACGGAGGAUGCAAGUGUUAUCCGGAAUCACUGGGCGUAAAGCGUCUGUAGGUGGUUUAAUAAGUCAACUGUUAAAUCUUGAGGCUCAACUUCAAAACCGCAGUCGAAACUAUUAGACUAGAGUAUAGUAGAGGUAAAGGGAAUUUCCAGUGGAGCGGUGAAAUGCGUAGAUAUUGGAAAGAACACCGAUGGCGAAAGCACUUUACUGGGCUAUUACUAACACUCAGAGACGAAAGCUAGGGUAGCAAAUGGGAUUAGAUACCCCAGUAGUCCUAGCCGUAAACUAUGGAUACUAGAUGUUGAACAGAUCGACCUGUGCAGUAUCAAAGCUAACGCGUUAAGUAUCCCGCCUGGGAAGUAUGCUCGCAAGAGUG